rnacentral:misc_RNA from 1 species
GCUUAUUUAGCAGUCUCCUGAAAAGAAGCCACAGAGAAAGAACCUGGUUCUCGUUUUGGAGAAUAUGUUCCUUGGCAAGCCCUUUUACGGUAACAAGUACCGCCUAUCUGGACAGAAGGUCCAAGAGGAAGAAGCUGUUUCUCAGUUUGGAAUUGAUCGCAUCAAAUGUUUCACAUCAGUGCUCUCUUUUGGUCAAGUUGUCAACACCAUCGUAGAAAGUCA